UGCAGUCGAGGGGCAGCAUUCACUUCGGUGAGAUGGCGACCGGCGCACGGGUGCGUAACGCGUAUGCAACCUACCUUAUACAAAGGGAUAGCCCAUGGAAACGUGGAUUAAUACCUUAUAGUACUAUAAAGCUGCAUAGCUUAAUAGUUAAAACUUCGGUGGUAUAAGAUGGGCAUGCGUAUGAUUAGGUAGUUGGUAGGGUAAAAGCCUACCAAGCCGACGAUCAUUAGGGGUUCUGAGAGGAUUAUCCCCCACACUGGUACUGAGACACGGACCAGACUCCUACGGGAGGCAGCAGUGAGGAAUAUUGGUCAAUGGACGCAAGUCUGAACCAGCCAUGCCGCGUGCAGGAUGACGGCCCUAUGGGUUGUAAACUGCUUUUAUUAAGGAAUAAACCCUCCUACGUGUAGGAGGCUGAACGUACUUAAAGAAUAAGCAUCGGCUAACUCCGUGCCAGCAGCCGCGGUAAUACGGAGGAUGCAAGCGUUAUCCGGAUUCAUUGGGUUUAAAGGGUUCGCAGGCGGCGCAUUAAGUCAGUGGUGAAAUCUCUCGGCUCAACCGAGAAACUGCCAUUGAUACUGGUGUGCUAGAGUAUAGUUGGCGUAGGCGGAAUGUAUCAUGUAGCGGUGAAAUGCUUAGAUAUGAUACAGAACACCGAUCGCGAAGGCAGCUUACGAAACUAUAACUGACGCUC
rnacentral:rRNA from 1 species